UCAACGUGGGCAGACCAAGUUCAGUCGUGGAGCAGCAGAGCUGAUUCAAGGCUACCCCUGGGGUUAAAGGAGCCGAGGCAGGGGAAUGGGCAUCACACCGGCACGUCUCUUACAUUUGAAGAGAUUCUGCGGGCUUGUAGUUUUCAGAGCCCCUCAUACCUUUCAUCCUCUCAACAACUCAGCCCAAUUAUUAUCCCAUUUUUAACUGCAUAGGCGAAUAGGACUCCGAGCGAUUUGCCUAAGGGCAAACGGCCAAGUUGGGACUAGAACACAGACGCUGGAGCCCAGAUCCAACCCAUGUCCCCAGAACAUUUGGAGCUCAGUGUCCCAGGAUGGGGGCAGGAGCCAGGAUCAGACCCAGGCUGUGGCCAGUAGCUCAGAGGACCAGAACCUGGCAGUUCCAAGCACAAAGUCAUGUGCCGAAUGUCUUGAUGGGUUGAAACCGUGUCUGGUGGCAGCAUACGAGAGAUAUGUCCUUUCUUUUUUAUAGUUUUCUGUAUUGAUCAGAAUUUUUGCAUAAACAAGCUUUAUGUUUAUAAUCAGACAAAAACAUAACCUUAUUUUUCUGGGGCUUGGGUGGUAGAAAUCUGCAUAGAGCCGAGUUAGGGCCCUUCAUCGGCCAGCAGCUGCUCUUGUGGGCAGGGCUCUGGCCCUCAUCGUACCUGAGUCCCCUGAUGCUCUUUUCCUGAUGAUGGUUUCAACACUUCUAAUUUCCAGUUCUCUCAGCUCAGUCCCCUUUCUGGCAACCACAGCUGCCCUCCCCCAUCCUUUGAGGGUUUUCCAGCAAACCUUUGCACUCAGUUCCUUGGCAGAAGAUCAGGGGAUCACAUGGCUGAGUGACUGCUGUUUUCUGAACCAUGGAAUGGAAAGAAACACUACACACAAAGCCAGCACACAGACCCUCUGUUGCAAGCCUGGUAAUAGCGCGGCGUGGAAGUGAUUCAUCUGAGACCGCCUGGCGUGUGCACACGCAUUGGAGCGAGGCACCAAUGACCUCUCUAGUACAAAAAUGUUUCCAAGAAGGCUGAUGAUCAAGGCAGCCUGGGGACACGUGCAACCUGGAACUCACUGCUCUCCAGACCCUCUGCUUCUUUGGACAGCGACUAGAGCCACAGCAGUACCUUGUAUGUGAACAGCACUAGACAGUGUUCAAACCACCAUGAGCUCCACAUAAAACCCCACAAGGAAGGACGGGCAGAGGUGCCACCUGCAUUUGCACAGGUAAGGAAUUGGAGCCAGUUACCUGGGCCCCAUGCUGAUGAGUGGGAGCCAGAACCAGAGCCUUUGGACUCCCAGGCAAGGGCUCUUUCCCUCAGAAAGCAGUACUUCCUGGUGUACGUCGUGCUUCUGGGACCCCCAAUGCCCCUGCGUCUGAGAGCCAGGGAAGCCCAGCCUCCGGACUUGGUGCCCCCGACGCUGUGCACGCAGCCCUGAGCUAGCCCUGGCCACUGCCCUCUCCAGCUGACGACACGCAGCGGGCUCGAGGCUGCAGUCCUGCUGUGAUGUGGCCACUGUGGGCCCCUGCCUCCAGCCCACGGCCCUGGUUGAGGACCUAGAAGGUCAUGUGAACAGAGGAGAGCUGUGGGCUUAGGAUAGGCCGAAGGUUUGCCAAGUUUUGAGGCCACAGAAGCAUGUCCUUCAAAUGCACGCCCAUUCAAACCAGAGGAGCAACACCGACGAAGGCCCGGCUGGGCCCUGCCUCCCCGACCCGGCCAAGGCAUCCCCCUUUUCCCCAGGCCCUGGAGCCACCUGCAAGGAACACCUAGGUCACUUCAUCGAACAGCUGUAAACGCCAUCCCAGAGCCCUCCUGGCUGGGCGCUCCCUGCCUUGGGGAGCCCUUGCCUGUUCUGGUUCAACACCCGCUCUCUGCCCGCCAGAGUCCCAGAAACCCCCGUGGGGUUGUGUCCCCGAGCGUGCCAGUCUUCAGGGGGCGGAGGACAGCGAGGAAGGGGCAGGGGACCGCUUUCUGAUUCUUCUCCCCUAGAAAUCCUGCCUGAGGCUCUAGUAUCCAGAGGGAGGCAGAGGAGAAAUGGUUCCUGCGUGUGGGGGCCUACCCCGCUGCUGGGGAGCGUGUAGGGGGUGCACACACACAUACACACACAGGUGCAGAAGCAGGUCCAAAAGAGAAACCCCAUAAAAGCAAGCCCAGGCUCCCCCAGCCACGCAGAGCAACACAUCCCAGUGAAGGGCUGCUGGAGUGAAGGUGGGCCAGAGCCCGGGUGAGGCAAUGGGACGUCCUCCCAGGAAAGGCCUGGGGGGAGAAAGGAAGACCCCUGAGGCCGAUCAGGUCACACACCUCAGCCAGCAGGAGAAUGCCAGGCAGCCUGCGCUUGGCACGCGGGUGGGGCAGGGAUGCUUCUCCCAAGUGUGCCCUGAGCUGGUAGUUUGGGUUGGGGUGAGUGAGGGUUACGGGGGCAGGGCGGGCAGCCUGCCAGCGGGGACCCACAGCAAAGGCAUCAAAUGGGAGAGGAGACAAGUAAAAGACCUUGUGAAGCAGAGGGGAAGAAGCCUUCUACCCACAAGGUUAAAAAAACAAAACAAACAAACAAA